rnacentral:rRNA from 1 species
CCUACGGGUGGCAGCAGUGGGGAAUAUUGGUCAAUGGGGGGAACCCUGAUCCAGCCAUGCCGCGUGUGUGAAGAAGGCCCUCGGGUUGUAAAGCACUUUCAGUGAGGAAGAACGCCUGGUGGUUAAUACCCAUCAGGAAAGACAUCACUCACAGAAGAAGCACCGGCUAACUCCGUGCCAGCAGCCGCGGUAAUACGGAGGGUGCGAGCGUUAAUCGGAAUUACUGGGCGUAAAGCGCGCGUAGGUGGCUUGAUAAGCCGGUUGUGAAAGCCCCGGGCUCAACCUGGGAACGGCAUCCGGAACUGUCAAGCUAGAGUGCAGGAGAGGAAGGUAGAAUUCCCGGUGUAGCGGUGAAAUGCGUAGAGAUCGGGAGGAAUACCAGUGGCGAAGGCGGCCUUCUGGACUGACACUGACACUGAGGUGCGAAAGCGUGGGUAGCAAACAGGAUUAGAUACCCCUGUAGUC